CCUACGGGCGGCAGCAGUGGGGAAUAUUGCACAAUGGGGGAAACCCUGAUGCAGCGACGCCGCGUGAGUGAAGAAGUAUCUCGGUACGUAAAGCUCUAUCAGCAGGGAAGAUAAUGACGGUACCUGACCAAGAAGCCCCGGCUAAAUACGAGCCAGCAGCCGCGGUAAUACGUAGGGGGCAAGCGUUAGCCGGAUUUACUGGGGGAAAAGGGAGCGUAGACGGCAGCACAAGUCUGGAGUGAAAUCCCGUGGCUUAACCCCGGAACUGCUUUGGAAACUGGGCGGCUGGAGUGCAGGAGGGGAGAGCGGAAUUCCUAGUGUAGCGGUGAAAUGCGUAGAUAUUAGGAGGAACACCAGUGGCGAAGGCGGCUUACUGGUCUGUAACUGACGUUGAGGCUCGAAAGCGUGGGGAGCAAACAGGAUUAGAUACCCCAGUAGUC
rnacentral:rRNA from 1 species